GAUGAACGCUAGCGGCAGGCUUAAUACAUGCAAGUCGAGGGGUAGCAAGAUUGUAGCAAUACAAUUGUGGACGACCGGCAAACGGGUGCGGAACACGUACACAACCUUCCUACAAGUGGGGAAUAGCCCAGAGAAAUUUGGAUUAAUACCCCGUAACAUAGCGAUGUGGCAUCACAUUGCUAUUAUAGCUUCGGCGCUUGUUGAUGGGUGUGCGGCUGAUUAGAUAGUUGGCGGGGUAACGGCCCACCAAGUCUACGAUCAGUAGCUGAUGUGAGAGCAUGAUCAGCCACACGGGCACUGAGACACGGGCCCGACUCCUACGGGAGGCAGCAGUAAGGAAUAUUGGACAAUGGACGCAAGUCUGACCCAGCCAUGCCGCGUGAAGGAUUAAGGUCCUCUGGAUUGUAAACUUCUUUUAUAAGGGACGAAAAAAGGUCUUUCUAGAUCGUCUGACGGUACCUUAUGAAUAAGCACCGGCUAACUCCGUGCCAGCCGCCGCCGUAAGAC
rnacentral:rRNA from 1 species